rnacentral:lncRNA from 1 species
CUAAACUUUUAACUACAUUUACACAAGGAUCACCAAAAGUAACAGUCGAAACUCCAACACUACAAGUCUUGAACCCAAGGCAAGCAUUUUGUAGGAUCGAAAGUGCAUUAUCACUCUUGCAUUCGCCAUGUCUAAAAUUACCACAUUGCCCUUGAGGUGUUCCAAAGCUAGCAAAACUUUAUAGAAGAGAUGACUUGAUUAGGGAUUUAGGGUGAGGGCAUUCUAAAGAAACUUUGGUUCUUGUUUCCGUUUUCUUGUUGACUUAUCUUGACUCCAUGCUUUAAUGGACGAUGGGUGUGAUUCAGACACAUGUGAGUAGGGUUGUAAACGAACCGAACGAAUAUGAAGUAGAACUUGUUCAUGUCCGUUCAUUUAAGUUAGCCGAACAAACAAAUGAACACGAAUAGAUAAACAAACGAGUUCUCUUGUUCAUGUUCGUUCAUUUAACAAAUUACCUUGUUCGUGUUCGUUCGUUUAUGUUCGUGCACAUGCUAGACGAACAUUAACGAACAAAGAUAAACAAACACGAUUGGACAUAUAUGAACAUAAACACACAUAUAAUAUAUUAAUUAUAAUUGAAUAUAUAUUAACAUAAAUAAAUUUAAACUAACAAUAUAAACAAAUGUUCACAAACAUAAAUGAACAAAAUUGGACAAUUGUUCAUGUUCAUUCGUUUAACUAAAUGAACAAGAAUUUAUGUUCAUGUUCGUUCAUUUAUUUUAAAAAAACAAACAUAAACGAACUUCCCGACGAACGGUUCACAAAUGGUUCGUUGAACGUUCAGUUUGUUUACAAUCUUACAUAUGAACAUAAACUUUGAAACAUUUGUGUUGUGAAAGAUAUUUUUGUAGAGACUCCACCAAUUUCUUCAAACUAACACAAUUAGAUUUCCACUAGGUUGUCACCGUGAUUAAGGUACAUGGUACUUACAAGAUUAUACCAAUUAAAUUGGUGGGUGUUAUAUCACAUAUUACCAUACUUUUCGCAUGUAAUGUCAGUGUCACAUCAUUUACCCUUAACCUACAAAAUUGGUAGGUGUAGUAUCACACCUUACCAUACUUUUCAUUUUCUUUUUUUUAUUAAAUAAAAUUUAUUUUAAUAAAUAUAAUUAUAUAAAAAUAAUAAAAGGAAAGUACUUCAUUAAUUAAAAAAAAUGCAUACUAAAUUAAAAUCAUAAAUAAAAAACAUAAUCGAAAAAUAGUAGAAUAGUAUGUUAUGCCUAAUCAUCGUCGCUCGCAACGUCAUCAUAAUCCUCACCCGAAUCAUCUUCAAACAUGUCUGAUUCGUCAUUUGUAUUGUCGAACAACUUAUAUUCAAAAUCAACAACAAUGGGAUUCAAUUGAGCAUUGAAGAUGUGUUCACUAAAUCAAUGCGGAUAUUGUGGUGUCCAACUCGGUCGUAUAAUUCCCCUAUGCUCGCCAUGUACAUAUGUAACGUACCAAAAAUCCAAGGAAAAACUUUCAUUUUUAAAACAUUAAUUCAUACCACAUUUUGUUCCCAAAAUCAUUCAAGAUGAAAAAUAGUAUUUAAACAUCAGAGUAAAAAUCAUGACUAAUCAAAUGCGGAAUAAACUCUGGGGGAUGUUGUGCAGUCACAUCGGGCCCUUCCCUUUCAUACUGGAAGUACCUGAAACCAUAAACAUGAAACUAUAAGCACAAAGCUUAGUGAGUUCCCCAAAAUACCACAUAUCAUACAUAUCAUGGGGCCAUUUGGCCAAACCCAUAAUAAUGGGCGUAGCCCUUCCUAGUCAACGGGGCCACCCUAACAUAAAAUUGGGCCUAGCCCAUCAUACAAUGGGCACAACCCAACAUACAAUGGGCCCAAACCUCUCAUGCAGUUGUCCCCAGUCCUACAUGCAUGCCAUUGGCCCCAACCCAUCAUACAAUGCAAAAGUCACAAAAACAGCUAGCAUCCUACAUAACGUAUCCUAGUGGUCCGACAUUGGUGCCUUCGACCUACAUGUACAGUGAGGAGACUCACCUCAAAUCCGAGAUAACUGAAACACACACGCGCUGCUGCUACUGGGCUCUUCACACUAAACAUAUCCAAAACCAUCCCUACUAAAAAAUUAGGGUAAUAACCCAAAAUCAAGUUCCAACUCUUAAUCUAUCAUGCUAAGGGUAGAAGACCAUUUUACCCUUCCCAUAUCCGACCCAACAAUCCAUGGCCCAAAACCCAAAGGACCCAAGGCCCAAAAAUGGCCCAUAUUGACUUCUGAUGAGUACACCCCGCGUACCACCCCAAUACGCUCGAUGUACUGCUUAAUCGAAGAGAAAGUAACGCGUUGAAACCCAUUAUCCGCAGCGUACCAGGAGGGUAUGCCCGAUGUACUACCCAACUACCCAAACUCAACUUUAAGCUCUUAAUGCUUAAAGACCAAAACAUCCAAUUCACAUAUCUAACUCUAUGGGGGCAUCUUAAGUCAUAAAUUUCCAACUUUAUGACUUUGCAUGGUUUAAUGGUGUCCAAAACCAAACCCUAACUUCUUACUAACACUUAAUGGCUAAAAAAUCAUGCAUGGUUGUACCACAACCAUCAAGAUCUAACUUUUAUGCUACAUAAACCUUAGAUCAAACAAGAAAUGAGUCAAAUGACACCCUUAAGCUUUGCAAUAGCUUUUACUCAAAAGAACCAAAAUCAUGGGACCAAAAGGUGACAAAUCAUAACCCAAAACUAGAUCUACAUGAAAGAACCAUUAAGGUCGAAACUUUACACCUCCAAAAGAUUGCAAAGUAGAAGAGAGUUAUGGAUCUUCAAGCUCCUAGCUAACCAACACUCAUCUAAUGAGUUCUUCUUCUUCUAAAUGCACCAAAAAGACACCAAAAUCACUCAAAGGCUCAAUAAUCUUUUAAAUGGGGCUAGGGUUUCGAAUUUUGGGUUAGAGAAGAUGAAGGUUGAAGGUAAGAAUGGUUUGCAAUAAGAUAAGGUCUUUAAAUAGGGUCUAAUACCCAAAAAUUAGGGUUUAACCCUGACUGGCGUAUGCCCAACGUACUCCAUGUACGCUCUGUGUACGAGGAAGAAACUUUGCGAUAACUUAAGCCUAGUACGCCCAACAUAAUAGCUUAAACCCAAAACCCUCCUAACUUCUAAUGGUCAUAACUCCCACGUCCCAAUCCGUUUUUGGCAUUCUGUAUAUGCUCGGAAAGGUAAUGAGAAACCUUAUAAUUGUAGCACCUGGUUUUUGGUACAUAUUCUUUGUGAUUAACUCUUUAAAUAUUUUCAUUUGGCCUUGGACUCGGCGAGUUGAUGGGAUAACUCGCCGAGCAGAAGCGGGACAAGACACGGGGUUUAAGCUAUGGACUCGGCGAGUUGGUACUGGUCGGACAAAAACCCUAAUUCGAGGGUUUGCACCCUAUUUAAACACUUUAACUUGGCCUCUUUCGUCCCAUUUACCUCCAGAGAACCUCCAUAGCAUACCCUAGCCGUUGUUGAAGCAAAUUAGAGCAUUUGAAGAGUUUUUGGUGUACUUGUGAUCCAAGGUAGGAAGAGAAGCUUGAAGGAAACGGGAAGGACUGAAGGGGAUCCGAAUUGGUGCAUCAUUUGCAGCUCAUUAAAGGUAAAAAAAAAGUUUGUACCUAGAUCUUCCAAUUGUUAGAUCCCAUUUUGGUGGAGUUUUAGGGCUUUAUGAGCCAUUUUAGCUAGCCAACCAUGAAUGCAAGCAUGGUUGGGGAUGAGGGUGUGGAUCUAGGACCCUUGAAGGGUCACAAAGCAGAAAGGGGGUGCUUUUCCACCAAAGAAAGGCUCCAUGCAACUCAAGGGUUUGUUUUAGGACCUUUUGAGCUUAAAGUCCCAUGCAAGCACGUAAAGGUUGUGACUUUAAGCGCUAUAGAUAUAUCCUUUGAUCAAGAGCUGUGCAUCAGAAAUGGAAGAUCAAGUGAGAAUAUGCGACAGACUCGGCGAGUCCAUCCUUGGACUCGGCGAGUCCAAGCUUAUGUCCCAAAUCAGUUGAGGGUCAAAAGGACCUAGUUGAGUGUGGAAAGGUUUUAGGGAGUCCCGGGGAGUGACCCAACGUUCUGGACUAACCAAUUGUUCGGGAUAUUCAUGGGACUCGGCGAGUGCAUGAGCAGACUCGACGAGUCCAAGGCAAUCUUCAUAUGGAUGAAGAUGAACUCGACGAGUUGUUCAUACAACUUGGUGAGUCAAGGACAGGACCUGUUUAUCAGGUGAAGAUGAACUCGACGAGUUGUUCAUACAACUUGGCGAGUCGGAUGAAGAUUCAGUCGAUGUUCAUUUAGAAGGAAAACUCAUCGAGUCAUUGCCUAACUCGACGAGUAGAGUCGGGGAUAAGGACAAAUAGAGGGAUACGGACUCGGCGAGUUGGCAAGCCAACUUGGCGAGUCAGGUCAACUGGAAGUUGACUUUAACCUUGACUUUGACUUGGUAGGGGUAGGAUGGUCAUUUUACCCUAAGGUCAGUUAGCAGUGUUUGAUUAAGUGUUUUGUUGGAAGUGCAGCCGAGGAUUUCCGGAGCAGUGGCAGCAGAUACACAGUUCCCGCGCAGAUCAGCAGCUACUUCGAGGUGGGUUACCUUCCAGUAGCGGUGGGUCUACGGCCACAAUGUCGGCCCACCAGUAGGAGUUGUAUGUUAGAUGAUUGUCUUUGUGAUAUCAUCUAGGUUUGCUACUACCUGAUAUGUUAUAUGUUGGCAUGAUAUGUUAUAUAUGAUAGUAGUAGAGUUCGGUUGUUAGGACCGAAGGGUAGGUCAGGCACCCCAGAUAUUUCUGAUAGUAUGUGAUGGUAUGUUUGUAUGCUAGCAUGAUAUGUUAUAUGUGAUAGGGGUAGUAGGAGGGGAAUAGUCCCCAAGUUCGGUUGUUAGGACCGACGGGUAGGUCAGCACCCCAGAAUAGCUUGACAUGGGUAGGUCAGCACCCCAGAAUGGCUUGACACGGGUAGGACGGCACCCUAGAAUGGCCGCACGGGUAGUCCGGNNNNNNNNNNNNNNNNNNNNNNNNNNNNNNNNNNNNNNNNNNNNNNNNNNNNNNNNNNNNNNNNNNNNNNNUUGUAUGGUAUGUGGUACGAUGGGGGAACUCACUAAGCUUCGUGCUUACAGUUUUCAGUUUUGGUUUCAGGUACCUCUUCAUCGAAGGGGAAGGAGCUGGCGCGGUAGCGGCACAUCAUACACACACACUGUUUUCCGCUUUACGAACUUGUUUUGGGAUUUGUACUUUGUUAUUGGGUUGUUUUCAUAUUUUGGGUUUCAGACACGAUAUAUGUUAUGAAAUGACUUGAUCAGACAAUGUUUUAUUUAAAAAUGUUUUCCAAAGUAUUGAUUUUAAAAAACGAAAUUUUUGGGCGUGCAAUUUGGGUUGUUACAAGUUGGUAUCAGAGCCCUGGAUUUGAGGGAUUCGGGCACACCUUCGAGGGUGUCUGAACUCAAAUAGAGGAAUGAAAGGAUUUCGAAAAAGAAAAAGUUUUCUAGAAUAUUAAGUAAAGAGUUUUAAGAAAAAACGAAGUGUGUGAUGUGCACGACCGACCGAGCUCAAGUAAGUAUUCCCCAAAGUACCCAUACAAUGUUAUGCAAUGUUUAUCAGUUCAGUAGAACAACAUGCUAGUAUAGGACUAAGGGUCUAGGAGUGAUGCCUUAUGUGCCUGAUUUAUGUGCUUCAGCUUAUAUGAAUUGCAUGCUAGUGUUAAGUAGACAGCAGUAGGAUAGCUUGUUCAGGUUAUGCCUGAUAGUAUGAGCUUAGCAUUGUAUGCUAGUACAAUUUCUUUCUAUGAGAACAGACUUGCUUGAGUAGUUUACCUGCAUCCGAAUGUUGUUUGCCUUGUGCUUUGUGGGACUCUAAGUGAUGGGAGUUAACCAUUAGGUGAAUACGUCACGUCACAUGUGGUCAGGGUUGAAUAAUCUCAGAGUGCUGGAUUUGGCCCUAUCGCGCAGCUCUUGGCUGAGUCUAACCGUUGUAGGGACGAGUCUGUUACUCGAAGGAUUAUCUGAGCCUAAUCACAUGUGAUGGUAUCCAGGUGAUGGCUAAUUGGCAUUACAAGGAGGCCUUCAGCAACUGAGGACCGGUUUGGGUAGGGCCAAAGAUUUUCCCUAGCGUAAGCCUAGGAUGAGGAUAACAGUGAUCAACAGUGGUAAAAAAAGGAUCUGGUGGAGUCAAGCCAGUCCUUGAAGAAGGUACGAAUAUAUGUGGAAGGUAGUAUGGGACCGUACUACCGAAAGCAGAGGAUCCGUACCCGAACUAAGGAAAGCUGAGAUAAGACCAGGGAACUUGUAGUAGAUGUGAUCCCUCAAGAGGUACCAGUAUCACUAAUGGUUGUUAUUAUGUAUAGUAAAAUGGUGGUACAACGUUCGAGGCUAGCAGUUGGCAGCUCAAGAGAGGGAUCAGGUUCGGGAUCAGGUUCCGAGCCAGUAGAUGAGGGGCUACAUGAGUUCAUAGCGUCAGAGAUCACCAGAGGUAUCCUUGAGUCGACCCCACCAUCUUCGGGUCGAUCAAGGAAGGGAUAGUUGAGUUGAUGGAGGAUCGCCUCAGGGCAUUCAGGAGUGACCUGACAUCUGGCCAGUCAUGUUCUCGCACACUGUCCUUCAAGGACUUCAGGGGCAGUGGUGCGCCGGAUUUUCAUGGGGCGAAGGACCCCAUACCUGCCAGACGAUGGAUUGCAGACAUCGAGUCUGCACAGUUGACUAGCUUCUGCCCCGAGGGGUCGAAUGUGACGUUUGCAGCAGGGUGUUUGAGAGACAGAGCUAGAGACUGGUAGGAGUCUGUUGGUGACUCAUUGGGAGCCUCGGCUGUUGAGGCUAUGUCAUGGUCAGACUUCGUGACCAGGUUCCGAGCAGAGUUUGCACCAGCUGUGGAGCUUUAGCAGCUGGCCAGGGAGUUUUUGGAUAUGUGGUAGACCACGGAGACUAUGGCGGAGAUCACCGCCAAGUUCCGGUAGAGGGCGUUGUUGGUGCCCUAGUACGCGAGUGAUGAGGAUAUGAGGAGGACCCGCUAUCAUGACAUGCUACGAGCUGAUAUUCGAGAGCAUGUUAGUUUUUCCACUUGCCCUACUCUGGAGUCCAUGAUUGCCAGGUCCAGGGAAAGGGAGAUCGAUCUGGAGCACAUCCGGAAGAGGAAGACAGAGGAGGGACAGAUGGGAGGGGCUUCGGGGAAGAAGCCCAAGGGAUCAGAUGGUAGGCCGAAAGGCCUGUCGGGACCGGGCCGCUGCAGGAAAUGCGGCAGGCCACAUGAGGGAGCAUGUAGACUGGGAUCGUCGGGCUGCUAUAAGUGCGGCAAGAUGAGGAACUUCAGCAGGGAUUGUACCGCCCCUGCACCUAUGAUACAAACAUCAGAGUUGUUGUGUUUCCAUUGCAACUAGAGGGGCCACAAGAAGGCCAAUUGCCCCCAGUUGACAGUAGCAGCGCCAGUGAAGGCGCCAGCUCUAGCGACCCUGCGGAUUACUGAUGGCCGGCAGGGCAAGGCAGAGGCUCCAGUGGUGAGGAGCCGGGCAUUUCAGCUGACUACCGAGGAGGCACGCAGCGCACCCGAUGUGGUGACGAGUAUGAUUCUUUCCCACUGUUUUAUUUAUAUGAUGUUGAUAUGUGCUCUGUAUAUAUGUGUUUAGGAUCGUUCCAUGUGAUUGGUAUCCUAGUUCAGGUGUUGUUGGACUCGGGUGCCACCCGACCGUUCAUUUCUCUUGCGCUUAGCAAGAAGUUCACUGAGUCUUCGGGCAUGUUGGAUUGCUCUUUAGAGGUAGAGAUUGCCGAUGAUCAAUCAGUGCGAGCAUUAACAGUGUUCAGAGAUUGCGUUCUGAGGUUAUUUGAGGAGCGCUACUUGGUGUAUUUGGUUCCUAUUCCGUUGCGUAGGAACAAGGUGAUUAUAGGCAUGGAUUGGUUAAGCCCUAAUGGGGCGGUGAUAGAUUGCGCACAGCAGCUGGUGCGAAUCAGGACCCCAAAUGGGGGAGAGUUGGUAGUCCAUGGCGAGAGGCCACAACAUGGACCCACAGUAUGUUCGGCGGCGAGAUCUAGGCGCUACCUUCAGUAGGGUUGCAUGGGAUAUGUCACGUAUGUUAUGGAUAUCCGGGAGGCGGGUAAGGCGACGGUGAGCAAGGUCCCGGUGUUGCAGGACUACACAUACAUGUGCCCAGAGGAGCUUCCUUGGAUACCUCCAGAGCAACAGGUGGAGUUCAGGAUCGACCUAGUCCCUGGUGCGGCUCCGAUAGCCAAGGCACAAUAUCGGUUGGCUCCUCCUGAGAUGCAGGAAUUGUCUACACAGCUGCAGGAGCUAUUAGACAAGGGAUUCAUUAGACCGAGCAAUUCACCCUGGGGAGCCCCAAUUCUAUUUGUGAAGAAGAAGAACGGGUCGCAUCGGAUGUGUAUAGAUUACUGGGAGAUGAACAAGGUAACGGUGAAGAACCGUUACCCACUCCCGAGGAUUGAUGACCUAUUUGACCAGCUACAGGGAGCAUCUUGGUUUUCCAAGGUUGAUCUGCGUUCAGGAUAUCAUCAGAUGAUGGUCAGAGAGGAGGAUGUGCAGAAGACUGCGUUUCGGACGCGCUAUGGCCACUACGAAUUUGUGGUGAUGCCCUUCGGGCUCACCAAUGCUCCUGCCGCGUUCAUGGACCUCAUAAACCGCGUGUGUAGACCGAUGUUAGACCGAUCUGUGAUAGUGUUUAUUGAUGAUAUAUUGGUUUAUUCCAAGACGCAGGAGGAGCACCUGCGGGAGGUGCUGGAGACUUUGAGGAAGGAGAACUUGUAUGCUAAGUUCUCCAAGUGUGAGUUCUGGUUGCGCGAGGUGCAGUUCCUCGGACAUCUCGUCAACCAGAACGGGAUCUUAGUGGACCCGACCAAGGUAGAGGCUGUGAUGAGAUGGGAAGUUCCAAAGUCUCCAUCUGAUAUUCGAAGUUUCCUAGGAUUAGCAGGCUAUUAUCGGAGAUUCAUUCGGGAUUUCUGUGACACCCUAAUUUUUUUUUUUUGCAAAAUUUUUUGAACUUUUAGAACCCAUCUUAAAUUAAAUUAAAACAACUGAAAUAGUCAUAACAUAAUUCAUCUACUUAAAAAUCUUAUAAAAUGAGUGCGGAAGUAAUAAUAAUAAUAAGGUCCCAACAAAAAUAACUAGUAGUGAUGUCCCGGUGCUCCAUGUCAAGCCCUAGCCUCUUUAAUCUUAACACCUGAAAAGUUAUAAGGGAAACCAUAAGCACAAAGCUUAGUGAAUUCAAACACAGACAUUGUACUAACAUUCAUAUUUACUAACCCUAAUCCAUUUUCCAAUUAUAGUUUUAUAAUAAGGGCAAAGAACGAAUCAACGCCAAUAAUACAAGAAGGACUUGUAGGUUUGAGCCGCACCAGGAACAUCCCGUAUCACUUGGCCCUAAUCAUCGCACCUCAUGAUGAGUAUUACGUUGGUGAUCUUACCUACCCACCGCACCGGUAAAUCCGUAUCCUUUGGUGGUGUCCCCAUAUCCAUGAUUAGUUACAUACAGUGCACAUGUACGAAUUAAAACAAUACUUAUAUAGCAUGCUUUUAUAAUAAAUUCAAAUAAUCACACACGAGCUAACUAGCAAACACAAUCAUCAAUACAACGGUGUGAGAGAACUCACCUUGAGUGAGUAUUAAGGAUGGAUAACAAUCAAAUAAUGCUACCAAGCUUGAGCAAACUUCAAAACCUCACCUAAGAAGGACUAAAGGUUAGAAAGGAGAAGUAAUGAAGCUAUGAGUUGAGAAAAGAGUAAUCACAGCAAGGUCUCUAAAAUAGACCUACUGUUUAAAAUGGAUUUACUCCAAAAUCUAAAACAGAAACAUAGAUUUAACUAAAUUCUAUAGGAACUAUGAUUGCUCAGGAUUCCACAACUAUAAAGAACUCAUUCUAACUCCAAAAGAUGAAUUAAAUAUGAAUUUUACAAAAUGGUGUAUCACUUCUGUCUCCAACAAUACAGUCAAGUGAUGUUGGCCAAUUCUACCCAACUUGUGAGUAGAAUUCGUCCAAAAGAAAAUUAAGAGAAGUAAAGGACAUACAAGUGAAAGUCUCAGAGUUGGAAUUGAAUGAAAAGCAUCUCUCAAACUCCAGAUAUAAAAUUCACAUUGUGGACAAUCACAGCACUAGCAAAAGCUGGUGACUGCCCACUGAUCUGGAGUGUGGAUCCAUUCUAACCAAUUUAUAAUUGGAAAUAACACCCCAUCUUCUCCAGAUCUUAAAUUCAUGAUAUACGGAACAUAUAGAAACUUGGAAUCACUCUGGAUCCUUUUCCAAGCCUUAGAAAUAAUGAAAACAAAAUGACAUAUCAGAACAGACCCGGAUCAGACCUAACAGCAAAGAUGCCAUUCUUUUCCAUAGAUAAAGUCCUUAUCAGUGAGGUUAGCCUUCUUAAGAACGUUAGCCAACUCAAAUUUUUAACUUUUGGAACUGGUUUGGGGUCGGUUUGAGUUCUAGAUCUCAAGAUAUGAGUUUUACAAAAUGACUACAGAUCUGAUGGAAAAUAGAAUCGUAGCCACCCGUGAUUCCUUUUUGGCUUAUCCAUCCUUCUCCCUUUGAAAUACAUUUUAAGAUGUGUUCAUCAUCCCAAUUUAGUCCCCAUGAUCAUGGUGGUACUAAAAAGGGUUAGGUAUCAUUAGGAUUUCAUUUUGCCACAAGAUUGUAAUAACAAUCAACAUGAAAAUGAACAUAAAGCACAUAAAAUCACCAUUCUCCCUUUUAGGGUUUCCAUGAUCUUUUGCCACAUGUAAUCCCCUAGAUCCAUCAUCCACCAUAUAUGGGGUGAAGAUAGGAUCUUGAGAUGAUGUAUAACAUACAAUUACAAAUCAAAUAAGAAGGAGAAGAAGUGAAGAUGAAAUCAUAAAACUAGAACAAGGUUAUGAAUCAAGUUGUAAGAAAUGAUAAGGAGGUUCAUACCAAUAUGAAUCAAGGCUGGAAAUGAACAAGAAUUAAGCUCCAAACAACAUCCCCUUGGCUGCUCUUGAUCCCAAAGAGAUAGAGGACGAUUUUAGAGAGAGAGAGAGAGAGAGGGUUUAGAGUGUUUUUCUUGUGUGUGUUCCAAAUGACUCAAUUAACACAUUAAGUACUAUUUACUAGAUGGACUUUGCAAAUAGGCCCAUAGUCCAUGGACUUCAAUAAAAGGAGUUUACAAGAUGAUCAAAAGAGUCCAAUAACAUAAGAAAUCAGACAUUGGUUAAAUAAAUUAACCCAAGGUUACAAGGAUAAUUAAAUUAAAAUAACCAAACGUACCGAGAAAACCCGGGGCGUUACAACUCUCCCCCACUAAGAACGGACUUCGUCCUCGAAGUCAACACCUAGAAACAGAUCCGGAUAAUGAGCCCGCAUCUCGCAUUCCGGUUCCCAAGUCCAUUCCGAACCCUUCCUAUGUUGCCACUGCACCUUAACCAGGUUUAUAGUCUUGUUGCGGAGAGCUUUCGUCUUUCGUUCUAAAAUAGCGAUUGGUUUCUCAACAUAAUUGAGACGCUCGUCAAUUUGUAUGUCCUCCAGUGGUAUCACAGCGGUCUCAUCAACAACGCAUUUUCGUAACUGAGACACGUGGAACGUAUUAUGAAUUAGACUAAGCUCGUCAGGAAGCUCUAAACGGUAAGCCACCUUCCCCACACGAGCUAUGACCUUGUAGGGUCCAAUGAAUCGGGGUCCGAGCUUUCCCCGCUUCCGAAAUCGAAUCACACCUUUCCAGGGGGAGACUUUAAGCAACACAUAAUCUCCCACCUGGAACUCAAGAUUGGAGCGUCUUUUGUCGGCAUAACUUUUCUGACGACUGCUCGCUGUGACCAAAUGAUCCCGAAUCACUUGGAUUUUCUCCGUAGUCUGUAGCACGAUAUCGGUACUCCCAAGUACCCUCUGCCCAACCUCGCCCCAACAAACGGGCGUCCUGCACUUCCUCCCGUACAAGGCUUCAUACGGAGGCAUUUUAAUGCUCGAGUGAUAGCUGUUGUUAUAAGAAAACUCAGCUAGAUGUAGAUGGUCAUCCCAACUACCCCCAAAAUCAAUCGCACACGCCCUAAGCAUGUCCUCCAAGGUCUGAAUCGUCCGCUCACUCUGCCCGUCUGUCUGCGGAUGGAAGGCGGUACUAAAAUGUAAUCGUGUGCCCAAUUCCUCUUGAAACUUCCUCCAGAACCGAGAGGUAAAUCGGGUGUCUCGAUCGGAGACGAUAGAAACGGGCACCCCAUGUAAUGAGACAAUCUCCCGAACAAAGAUCUCGGCUAAUUUCUCCGCCGAUGAGCUCUCCUUUAUAGCCAGAAAGUGAGCACUCUUAGUCAAACGAUCAACAAUCACCCAUAUCGUAUCUGAUCCUCGGGCAGUUCUAGGAAGUUUUGUAAUGAAGUCCAUGGUUAGAUGCUCCCAUUUCCAUUCAGGAAUCUCCAAUGGUUGCAACUUCCCAUGCGGUUUCUGGUGUUCCGCCUUGACCUUCCGACAGGUCAUACAUUCUUCCACAAAUCGAGCCACAUCAUUCUUCAUUCCAUGCCACCAGUAAGCCUCAUGAAGGUCCCGAUACAUUUUAGUAGCACCAGGAUGGAUAGAAAAUUUUGACUUAUGAGACUCAUCCAUUAGGGUUUUCCGAUUUCCCCCGGUAUAUGGAACCCAAAUCCUACCGUAGCGAGUCAGCAAACCACGCCCGUCUCGUUCCAUCUUAGGCAACUCUUUCCCAAUCUUCUCACGCCUGAUGUUUUCCUCCAGUAUUGCCGUCUUUUGGGCGUCCCGGAUUAGAUCUAACAAAGACGACACCAUCGUGAUUCGGAGACACUUAGCUCGAAGCGGUUCGGCAGAUUGUUUACGACUGAGAGCAUCAGCUACCACAUUAGCUUUACCGGGGUGGUAGUGAAUUUCACAAUCAUAAUCUUUUACCACAUCCAACCAUUGGAUCUGCCUCAUAUUCAAAUCCCGCUGCUCGAACAAAUAUUUUAGACUCUUAUGGUCAGUGUAUAUGAUAAACUUCACUCCAUAGAGAUAGUGUCUCCAAAUCUUAAGAGCGAAAACAACAGCCCCAAGCUCCAAAUCAUGAGUGGGGUAGUUUCGUUCGUGGGGUUUCAGCUGUCGGGAGGCAUAGGCUAUCACCCUAUCUCGUUGCAUUAACACGGCACCAAGACCUUGAAGCGAUGCAUCACAGUAAACCACCAUAUCCUCAACCCCAUCAGGUAAGGCCAAAAUCGGAGCUUCACACAAUCGUUUCCUUAACUCAUCAAACGCCAGUUGCUGCUCCGGGCCCCAAACGAAUUUCAUUGAUUUCUUGGUCAAUCGGGUGAGUGGUAAGGCGAUUUUAGAGAAAUUUUCAAUGAACCUCCGGUAAUAACCGGCUAAACCCAAGAAACUGCGAAUUUCAGAAGGUGUUUUCGGAAUCUUCCAUUGUUUAACCGCAUCAACCUUGGCUUGAUCGACCUUGAUACCUUGUUUGUUUACCACAUGCCCCAAGAACUGAACUUCUUCCAACCAAAAUUCACAUUUUGAAAAUUUAGCAUAAAGCCUUUCUCUUGCCAGAGUUUCCAGAAUCUCCCGAAGGUGUUGCUGAUGCUCCUCUUUGCUCUUAGAAUAGACUAAGAUAUCAUCUAUGAACACUAUGACCGAACGGUCAAGCAUCAGGCUACACACCCGGUUCAUGAGAUCCAUGAACGCUGCGGGUGCAUUGGUGAGCCCAAAAGGCAUCACUACGAAUUCAAAGUGCCCAUAUCGAGUACGGAAUGCUGUUUUCUCAAUGUCUUCUUCACGAACACGCAUCUGAUGGUAACCGGAACGUAAAUCAAUCUUGGAAAACCAAGAUGCUCCCUGAAGCUGAUCGAAAAGAUCGUCAAUACGUGGCAACGGGUACCUAUUCUUUAUCGUGCGCUUGUUUAGCUCCCUAUAAUCAAUACACAUUCGCUGGGAUCCAUCUUUCUUCUUCACAAAGAGAAUAGGAGCACCCCAAGGCGAGCAGCUUGGCCGUAUAAACCCUUUAUCACUUAGAUCUUGAAGUUGAUCUUGGAGCUCUUUCAUUUCAGGUGGUGCCAAGCGGUAAGGAGAUUUCGCUACCGGAGUCGCACCUGGCACCAAAUCAAUGCGAAACUCCACUUGCCGAACAGGUGGCAAGCCAGGGAGUUCCUCCGGAAAGACAUCGCUGAAGUCAGAAAUGAUAGGAACGUCGUCUAGUGCUAUAGCAGAAGAGCAAGAAGCCAUAGCUAGACUGGGAAUGUCCCCCUGAAUAAUAAGUUCUCUACCUCUAGGGUUUCGAACACGAACUUGCUUCUUACGACAGUGGAUUUCCGCAUCAAACGCAUCUAGCCAAUCCAUGCCUACGAUAACGCAGAGCUCUCGCAUCGCAAUAGGGAUAAGAUCAAUAGGGAAUUCAACUCCAGAAAACUCGAGAGUGCAACCCCGAUAGACAUCGGUGACAUAAAUAGUGCGGUUGUCGGCAACUUCGACAACCAUUGGGCGAGCCAAUUUUCCGAUACUACACCCCAGACGAUUAAUAAACGUGCGAGAUACAAAAGAAUGGGUAGCACCGCUAUCAAACAUAACAACAGCAGGCUCGGAAUCUAGCAAAUAAGUGCCUGAUUUACCACAUACGAUCAUGUAAACAAUUCUAACUACCAUUUAUUAAAUAAUGGCAGGAGAGAGGAGAAAAAAAAAAAAAAGAAAUUUACCUGCCACUGUCGCGGUAAUCACCGGCUCAUCCGCAGUCAUUUGGUGAGCACGACCUCGUGUCACCAUAGUGGGUCCCUUAGAAGACGAUGCAAUUGUAGGAUUUGUACCCCCGCCUCCUUUACCAGCCUUUAACUUCGGGCAUUCGGGCUUCUUGUGUCCCGUCUCGUUGCAGUGAUAGCAAACGGGAGCAACAGAAGUAAUCUGAGGAACUGCACUUGCAGGGGGAGCCCUACAAUUCUUCCAAUGAUGCCCUGGCUUUUUACACUUGUAGCAUAUCAACGGAUUUUUCUCGCAAUGACCUGAAGACGGCCUGUACUCAUACCUUGACUUAUCACCCUACUUUUGCUUUUUCUGGGCAUCUCCGGAUGUCUUGGAGGAGGUGUCAUUGGCCUUCCUCUUGGUCUGGGUCUGCAACUCGAUUUCCCUCCUCCUCGCUGCAUCCAUGAUCGCGGAUAAAGUCGGGAACUCCUGCAUGCUAACGAAUUCCCGAAUCUCGGUACGUAGAAUGGUAGUGUAUUGGCUGACCAACCAGGCCUCAUUCCCAGCAAAUGAGGGACAAAAAGAUAGCAUCUCCAAGAACUUGGCGUUCAAGUCGCUAACAGACUCGGUAGUUUGCUGUAAGGCCAUGAACUCUUGCUGCAUCCGCUGCUGCUCCACCUUGGGCACAUAUUGUGCCUCGAACCUCUCCACAAAUUGGGCCCAAGACAUGGCCCUCACUUCUUCCUCGUUUAAUAGAGCGGUGAUGGUGUUCCACCAUGUCUUUCCCCUUUUUCGCAGCUGAUUCAUGGCGAUCACAACUUUGUACUGGUCCGGACACCCAACAGUCAUGAAGGCGCCCUCAACAUCUGACACCCAAUGCUUAGCAGCAACUGGGUCGGAUUCACCAUUCCAAAGAGGAGGGCUACACUUGUUGAACUUCUCGAAGUAGUAUGCCGAAUCCCGAACGGGCGGAGCCGAUAACGCUCCCCCGGGAAUAGCUGCGAGGCGCUCAUCCAGAAGAGCUUUGACCUGGUUGAUUAUGUCAUUGGUCACGCCCGGGAUUAAUUCAUUGAAAGCGUUAUUGAAUUCCUCAGCGACAAUAUUCCUAACUUGCUCCAUUUGGAGCUGAUUAAGGCGAGCAGGCGGAGCCAUCUGUAUCCGUAGAAGGAGGAAAAUAUUUAGAAAUAAUUCAGCCUAGAUAUUUCUAGGAAGACGAAACACUCAGCUUGCCGAAAAUUUUUCAACCUUGCCCCGUCCCGAAACCGGCACCGAUGUUUCAAAUAGUAGGGGCCCUUCUACUACCUUCCACACAAGUUCCAAUUUCGCAUUCGCGUCUAGUUUCAAAAUUUCCAGCUCGCUCUAGCCGUUAAUUUUACAACUCUCUCACAUGUUAACAUUAAAUAAGUGUGUAAUCUAACAUUUUAAGACUAGUAGAAUCCAAUUCAUAGUCAACAAUUUAACAUAAACAUUUAACAUAAGAAAUAAGGCUUACUUGGCUGGCCGACUGACACACCGCGACAUCUUCCACUACUAGUCUUCAGAAAGUUUGAAAAAUCUUUUAAAAAGAAAAUAAACUCUUAUAGAGCCUCAAAUUUGUGUCUAGAACAUCCACAAGAAUGCCUAGUUCCCUCAAAUUGUGGCUCUGAUACCAACUUGUGACACCCAAAAUUUUCUUUUUUUGCAAAAAUUUUAAACUUUUAAAACCCAUCUUACAUUAAAUUAGAACAACUGAAAUAGUCAUAACAUAAUCCAUCUACUUAACAAUCUUAGAAAAUAAGUGCGGAAGUAAUAAUAAUAAUAAGGUCCCAACAAAAAUAACUAGUAGUGAUGUCCCGGUGCUCCAUGUCAAGCCCUAGCCUCUUUAAUCUUAACACCUGAAAAGUUAUAAGGGAAAAACGUAAGCACGAAGCUUAGUGAAUUCAAACACAGACAUUGUACUAACAUUCAUAUUUACUAGCCCUAAUCCAUUUUCCAAUUAUAAUGAUAAAGGCAAAGAACGAAUCAAUGUCUAUAUUACGAGAAGGACUUGUAGGUUUGAACCGCACCGGGAAGAUCCCGUAUCAUUUGGCCCUAAUCACCGCACCUCACGAAGAGUAUUACGUUGGUGAUCUUACCUACCCACCGCACCGGUAAAUCCGUAUCCUUUGGUGGUGUCCCCAUAUCCAUAAUUAGUUACAUACAGUGCACAUGUACGAAUUAAAACAAUACUUAUAUAGCAUGCUUUUAUAAUAAAUUCAAAUAAUCACACACGAGCUAACUAGCAAACACAAUCAUCAAUACAACGGUGUGAGAGAACUCACCUUGAGUGAGUAGUAAGGAUGGCUAACAAUCAAAUAAUGCUACCAAGCUUGAGCAAACUUCAAAACCUCACCUAAGAAGGACUAAAGGUUAGAAACGAGAAGUAAUGAAGCUAUGAGUUGAGAAAAGAGUAAUCACAGCAAGGUCUCUAAAACAGACCUGCUGUUCAAAACGGAUUUACUCCAAAAUCUAAAACAGAAACAUAGCUUUAACUAAAUUUUAUAGGAAACUAUGAUUGCUCAGGAUUCCACAACUAUAAAGAACUCAUUCUAACUCCAAAAGAUGAAUUAAAUAUGAAUUUUACAAAAUGGUGUAUCACUUCUGUCUCCAACAAUACAGUCAAGUGAUGUUGGCCAAUUCUACCCAACUUGUGAGUAGAAUUCGUCCAAAAGAAAAUUAAGAGAAGUAAAGGACAUACAAGUGAAAGUCUCAGAGUUGGAAUUGAAUGAAAAGCAUCUCUCAAACUCCAGAUAUAAAAUUCACAUUGUGGACAAUCACAGCACUAGCAAAAGCUGGUGACUGCCCACUGACCUGGAGUGUGGAUCCAUUCUAACCAAUUUAUAAUUGGAAAUAACACCCCAUAUUCUCCAGAUCUUAAAUUCAUAAUAUAAGGAACAUAUAGAAACUUGGAAUCACUCUGGAUCCUUUUCCAAGACUUAGAAAUGAUGAAAACAAAAUGACAUAUCAGAACAGACCCGGAUCAGACCUAACAGCAAAGAUGCCAUUCUUUGCCAUAGAUAAAGUCAUUAUCAGUGAGGUUAGCCUUCUUAAGAAAGUUAUCCAACUCAAUUUUUGAACGUUUGGAACUGGUUUGGGGUCGGUUUGAGUUCUAUAUAUCAAGAUAUGAGUUUUACAAAAUGACUACAGAUCUGAUGGAAAACAGAAUCGUAGCCACCCAUGAUUCCUUUUUGGCUUAUCCAUCCUUCUCCUUUUGAAACACAUUUUAAGAUGUGUUCAUCAUCCCAAUUCAGUCCCCAUGAUAAUGGUGGUACUAAAAAGGGUUAGGGAUCAUUAGGAUUUCAUUUAGCCACAAGGAUGUAAUAAUAAUCAACAUGAAAAUAAACAUAAGCACAUAAAAUCAUCAUUCUCCCUUUUAGGGUUUCCAUGAUCUUUUGCCACAUGUAAUCCCCUAGAUCCAUCAUCCACCAUAUAUGGGGUGAAGAUAGGAUCUUGAGAUGAUGUAUAACAUACAAUUACAAAUCAAAUAAGAAGGAGAAGAAGUGAAGAUGAAAUCAUAAAACUAGAACAAGGUUAUGAAUCAAGUUGUAAGAAAUGAUAAGGAGGUUCAUACCAAUAUGAAUCAAGGCUGGAAAUGAACAAGAAUUAAGCUCCAAACAGCAUCCUCUUGGAUGCUCUUUAUCCCAAAGAGAUAGAGGACAAUUUUAGAGAGAGAGGGAGGGUUUAGAGUGUUUUUCUUGUGUGUGUUCCAAAUGACUCAAUUAACACAUUAAGUAUUGUCAACUAGAUGGACUUUGCAAAUAGGCCCAUAGUCCAUGGACUUCAAUAAAAGGAGUUUACAAGAUGAUCAAAAGAGUCCAAUAACAUAAGAAAUCAGACAUUGGUUAAAUAAAUUAACCCAAGGUUACAAGGAUAAUUAAAUUAAAAUAACCAAACGUACCGUGAAAAUCCGGGGCGUUACAAUUUCUCCAAGAUAUUUGUACCCCUGACACGGCUGACGAAGAAAUAUGUGGUCUUUCGAUGGGGGCCUGAGCAGCAGGCAACGUUCGAGACUUUGAAACAUAAAUUAUGCGAGGCGCCAAUCUUAGCCCUGCCAGAGGGCAUGGAGGAUUUUAUGGUGUACUGUGAUGCGUUCAUCUUAGGGUUGGGCGCAGUGCCGAUGCAGAGAGGGCAUGUCAUCGCCUACGCGUCGAGGCAGCCGAAGCCUCACGAGGCGAAUUACUUGACGCAUGAGGGGCUGUUGUGUUCGCCCUCAAGAUUUGGCGUCAUUACCUCUAUGGGGUUCAUUGUACCAUCUACACGGACCAUAAGAGUUUGAGGUACCUCAUGGAUCAGCCGAAUCUGAACAUGAGGCAGCGUCGGUGGUUGGACGUGGUGAAGGAUUAUGACUGUGAGAUCCUUUACCACCCAGGGAAGGCCAAUGUGAUGGCCGAUGAUCUUAUCCGUAAGGCAACACCGAUCAAAGGCGUGUGCAUGAGGAUGACAGUAGUGACUCCGUUGUUAAAGCAAAUUCGGGAGGCUCAGCAGGAGGCUAUGAAGGAGGAACAUCGGAAGAGCGAGCGUAUAGUGGGUCAGGUUUCCUCCUUCGAUUAUGAUAGCCGAGGGUUAUUUACACUACACUGCAGCGUGUGGGUACCAUAUCACGGGGGUGUGUGCCAGGUUCUGAUGGAGGAGGCGCACAAAUCCUGAUUCUCCAUUCAUCACGGGGUGACGAAGAUGUAUAGAGAUCUUCGUCUAGACUAUUGGUGGCCCUGCAUGAAACGGGAUGUAGUUUGGUACGUUGAGCGGUGCUUGACCUGUAGGACGGUCAAGGCCGAACACCAGAGGCCACACGACAAGAUGCAACCGUUGAAUAUUCCGCUGUGGAAAUGGGAAGACAUCACGAUGGAUUUUAUCACCAAGCUUCCCAGUACCGCACGAGGAGUGGAUUCUAUAUGGGUUAACGUGGAUCGGUUGACCAAGAGCGCCCACUUCAUGCCGAUCCAGGAGAGUAUCUCGGCAGAGAAGUUGGCCGAUAUCUACAUUCGAGAGGUGGUGGCGCGACACGGAGUGCCAGUCUCCGUGAUUUCAGACAGGGAUGUACGGUUUACUUCCAGGUUUUGGAAGAAGUUCCAUGACGAGCUUGGCACUCGUCUUCAUUUUAGCACCGCCUUUCACCCGCGGAAAGAUGGUCAGAGUAAGCGGACCAUCCAGACUCUGGAGGAUAUGUUGCGGGCGUGUGUGCUGGACUUUGGUGGUAGCUGGGAUACUUAUCUCCUUUUGGCUAAGUUCUCAUAUAACAACAACUACCAUGUGAGUAUUGACGGUCCUCCCUUUGAGAUGUUAUAUGGGAGGAGGUGCAGGACCCCAAUAUGUUGGGGUGAAGUUGGCCAGAGGGUCAUGGGGAGCACCGAAGUGGUGCUCAAGACGACCAAGAGGAUUCAGCAGGUUCGGAGCAGGCUUCAUACUGCACAGAGUCGGCAGAAAAGUUAUGCCGACAAGCGUUGUUCAGACCUAGAGUUCCAGGUCGGAGAUAUGGUUCUCCUGAAGGUAUCGCCUUGGAAAUGCGUCAUCCGAUUCAGGAAGCGGGGCAAGUUGGGCCCAAGGUACAUUGGACCAUUCAGGGUUGUAGCCCGGGUGGGCAAGGUAGCAUACAGGUUGGAUCUAUCAGCCGAACUCAGUCAGAUCCACAACACUUUCCAUGUUUCGCAACUGCGGAAGUGCCUGGUGGACGACACCGUAGUGGUGCUUUUGGAGGACAUCCAGGUUGAUGGCAGCUUGAAUUACAUUGAGAGGCCAGUGGCAAUCCUCGACCGGAAGUCGAAGGAUUUGAGGAACAAGAGGGUGGAACUCGUGAAGGUGCAAUGGCAGCACCGGAAGGGGUCAGAGUGGACUUGGGAGCCGGUGGAAGAGAUGAUGGAGCACUACCCCGAGCUGUUUUAGGAACGAGCAGCAGACUUCAAGGACGAUGUCUAAAAUAAGUGGGGGAGAUUUGUAGCACCUGGUUUUUGGUACGUAUUCUUUGUGAUUAACUCUUUAAAUAUUUUCAUUUUGGCCUUGGACUCGGCGAGUUGAUGGGCUAACUCGUCGAGUAGAAGCAGGACAAGACGCGAGGUUUAAGCUAUGGACUCGGCGAGUUGGUACUAGUCGGACAAAAACCCUAAUCCGAGGGUUUGCACCCUAUUUAAACACUUUAACUUGGCCUGUUUCAUCCCAUUUACCUCCAGAGAACCUCCAUAGCAAACCUUAGCCGUUGUUGAAGCAAAUUAGAGCAUUUGAAGAGUUUUUGGUGUGCUUGUGAUCCAAGGUAGGAAGAGAAGCUUGAAGGAACAAGGAAGGACUGAUGGGGAUCCGAAUUGGUGCAUCAUUUGCAACUCAUUCAAGGUAAAAAAAAGUCUGUACCCUGAUCUUCCAAUUGUUAGAUCCCAUUUUGGUGGAGUUUUAGGGCUUUAUGAGCCAUUUUAGCUAGCCAACCAUGAAUGCAAGCAUGGUUGGGGAUGAGGGUGUGGAUCUAGGACCCUUAAAGGGUCACAAAGCAGAAAGGGGGUGCUUUUCCACCCAAGAAAGGCUCCAUGCAACUCAAGGGUUUGUUUUAGGACCUUUUGAGCUUAAAGUCCCAUGCAAGCACGUAAAGGUUGUGACUUUACGUGCUAGAAUGGUCCUAGGAGCAUAGAUCUAUCCUUUGAUCAAGAGUUGUGCAUCAGAAAUCGAAGAUCUAGUGAGAAUNGGACUCGACGAGUCCAAGGCUUUGAGUCCCAUAUCAGUUGAGGGUCAAAAGGACCCAGUUGAGUGUGGAAAGGUUUUAGGGAGUCCCGGGGAGUGACCCAACGUUCUGGACUAAGCCAUUGUUCGGGAUAUUCAUGGUACUCGACAAUUGCAUGAGCAGACUCAGCGAGUCCAAGGCAAUCUUCAUAUGGAUGAAGAUGAACUCGACGAGUUGUUCAUACGACUCGGCGAGUCAAGGACAGGACAUGUUUAUCAGAUGAAGAUGAACUCGACGAGUUGUUCAUACAACUCGACGAGUCGGAUGAAGAUUCAGUCGAUGUUCAUUUAGAAGGAAAACUCGUCGAUUCAUUGCCUAACUCGACGAGUAGAGUCAGGGAUAUGGAUAAAUGGAGGGAUAGGGAUUCGGCGAGUUGGCAAGCCAACUCGGCGAGUCAGGUCAACUGGAAGUUGAGUUUGACCUUGACAUUGACUUGGUAGGGGUAGGAUGGUCAUUUUACCCUAAGGUCAGUUAGCAGUGUUUGAUUAAGUGUUUUGUGGGAAAUGCAGCCGGAGGAUUUCCGGAGCAGCGGCAGCAGAUACACAGUUCCCGCACAGAUCAGCAGCUACUUCGAGGUGANNNNNNNNNNNNNNNNNNNNNNNNNNNNNNNNNNNNNNNNNNNNNNNNNNNNNNNNNNNNNNNNNNNNNNNNNNNNNNNNNNNNNNNNNNNNNNNNNNNNNNNNNNNNNNNNNNNNNNNNNNNNNNNNNNNNNNNNNNNNNNNNNNNNNNNNNNNNNNNNNNNNNNNNNNNNNNNNNNNNNNNNNNNNNNNNNNNNNNNNNNNNNNNNNNNNNNNNNNNNNNNNNNNNNNNNNNNNNNNNNNNNNNNNNNNNNNNNNNNNNNNNNNNNNNNNNNNNNNNNNNNNNNNNNNNNNNNNNNNNNNNNNNNNNNNNNNNNNNNNNNNNNNNNNNNNNNNNNNNNNNNNNNNNNNNNNNNNNNNNNNNNNNNNNNNNNNNNNNNNNNNNNNNNNNNNNNNNNNNNNNNNNNNNNNNNNNNNNNNNNNNNNNNNNNNNNNNNNNNNNNNNNNNNNNNNNNNGGGGGAACUCACUAAGCUUCGUGGUUACAGUUUUCAGUUUUGGUUUCAGGUACCACUUCAUCAAAGGAGAAGGAGCUGGCGCGAUAGCGGCACAUUACACACAAACACUGUUUUCCGCUUUACGAACUUGUUCUAGGAUUUGUACUAUGAUAUUGGGUUGUUUUCAUAUUUUGGUUUUCAGACACGAUGUAUGUUAUGAAAUGGCUUGAUCAGACAAUGUUUUAUUUACAAAUGUUUUCCAAAGUAUUGAUUUUAAAAAACGAAAUUUUUGGGCGUGAAAUUUGGGUCAUUACAAUAAUCCUAUAAAGUCUCUUUGACUCAAAACCUUCUGAGCUAGAAUCCUUGAUUCGAUAAAAGGCCCGCACCAUCACUUUUACCAUUAUACCCUUAGGCUUUAAAGUACAAAUCAAAAGAUCAACUCGCACAACCUAUAUNNNNNNNNNNNNNNNNNNNNNNNNNNNNNNNNNNNNNNNNNNNNNNNNNNNNNNNNNNNNNNNNNNNNNNNNNNNNNNNNNNNNNNNNNNNNNNNNNNNNNNNNNNNNNNNNNNNNNNNNNNNNNNNNNNNNNNNNNNNNNNNNNNNNNNNNNNNNNNNNNNNNNNNNNNNNNNNNNNNNNNNNNNNNNNNNNNNNNNNNNNNNNNNNNNNNNNNNNNNNNNNNNNNNNNNNNNNNNNNNNNNNNNNNNNNNAAAAAUAAUUUAUGACCGUUUCAAAAAAAUUACCUAAAAAAAUUAAUAUUUCCUUUUAUUCUAAAUCUGAAAAGAAAAUCUUAAAAAAAUUAUUAUUUUCUACUAUUUCACGUUUUUGUUUUUAAAAAAUAAAAUGAAUACAAAUCCAAUCCCAAAUCAAUACACUUCCAAUCAUAAAUGAAAACACAUCAAAUUACAAAUAAUUCAAUGCAUUUUCAUCAAUCGAAAAUAAAAAUAGUGUAAAAAUUAUCAUUUUUUCAUAAAAUGAAGACCUCUAAUCAUAAAUAAAUACAUUCACUCACAUGAAUACACUACUAUUCAUAAAUAAAUACAAUAAUUCACACAUAAAUACAUUGCAAUUCACAAAUGAAUACACUGUUAUUUAUAAAUUAAUACACAUUCUAUCAUAUAUUGAAUACAUCUAAUCAUAAAUAAAUACACUCAUUCACAUGAAUACACUACUAUUAAUAAAUAAAUAAAUACAAUCAUUCACACAUAACUACACUGUUAUUCAUAAUGAAUGCACGUGCUAUUCAUAAAUAAAUUCAACCAUUCACGCACCCCCCUUCAUGAUCCAUUUUUUUAUUGUCGAUUGACUACAACGACAUCAAGAGUGAAUCGGUACUGUUGAGUUCAUCGUAGCCCAAGGUGGAUUGAAGGUUUCCUUCCCAUCACUCCCUUUACUGUCGCUGCCGUAUUCAUAAAUCUUUCCAUUGGAUCACUGGAUAAACAAUGGAGGUAGAAGGACUGCCACCACCAUCCUUGGACUGUCACCACCACAAACAUCUCUAUCCUUCUCUUUUCCAUCGAACAAGUAGGCUAAACACCGCCGUUCUUCAUCUUCUUCCUAUUUAUUUCAAGCAACAAAACACCACCAAAAUCUAUUGAUUAAACUCAUCAAUUUCUGUUAAAAAUCAAACCCAAAAACCCACCUCAAACUCCACAAAUUUCAGUCAAAACAGAACAAAGAAAGGGAAUCAAACAAACACCCACUUGAGCUUACCGAGUUCUGCCAAAUCAAACAAGAAGAAAAAAGAAGGAACCCUUACCCGUUGUUGAAUCGUUGAUGCCUUUCUCGAUCACUAAACAACCCAAUGUCGAGGCUUUGUCACCGGAAACCAAUGGCAAACCCCACAUCCCGCUGCUUCCAUUCUCUUUUCUUCUUCUCUUCGAUCUAGCCAAGCACCAAAGGUGCCCCAUCUUCAACCCCUGAUCGCAUUGUUGCAUCCACCGAGACCGACGACCCACCCCUCGCUGCCUCCUCCUUUCCUCAUCUUUAGCCUCGUCGAACCUGGAGACGCUCCCCUUGCCAUCACGACGGCCGACCAUAGACGUUGCCGACUGCCUUCACUUCCUUCCUACGUCUUUCAUCGACCUUGCUGCUUUCAAUUCUUUGUUUUCCCCAGUCCCGUCAAGUGACGCCUUGGAGGGUUUUGGUGAUGGCAAAGUCCGAUGAUGAUAUUAGGUUAACGAAAUAAAGAGGCAAAGAGUAAUUAUAGGAGUUUACAAAAUUAGGGUAAUGUCUAUUUACUUUAAUACCCUUUAUAAUUUUUUUUUAAUUUAAAAAUUAAAUUUUAAAUGUAUUAAUAAUAAAAUAACAAUUAAUUAUAGCUACACAUCUUAAUAAUUAGAUGGUCCAGAUCUGUUCUCGCGUUCUCAACCUUUUAGAUGUUCUCAUUUGAUCCUACUCCUAUAUAUAUAUAUAUAUAUAUAUAUAUAGAUAUAUAUAUAUAUNAAUUAAUUAAUUAACUCCUAAAUGGGCCUAGAACCCAACCCUUUGAAGUCCAGGGCCUAACUUAAUCCAUUAAUGUCCAUAAUUCUCGAAAUUAGAAGCUUCUUGAAACCAAAUGUUACAACUCUCCCCCACUUAAACUAGAUUUCGUCCUUGAAAUCACUCCUUGCUACUUACUAGACACCUAGUCAUAUGUGUGACCGUAGGAUCUUAUUCAUGUUAUUGACCGGAGGGUCUUAUUCGUAUUAUUAACCAGAUGGUCUUAUUUGCUUAUAUUGAGAUAUGUGUUAUUAUGCAUUCUGUCUUUGUGACUUAUGUUGUUUAUAUUAUUCAGUGUACAAUAUGAGUUAUGGCCAGAUGGUCCAUACCGAGACGUGAGACCGGAGGGUCUUCACCGAGAUACGUGACCGAAGGGUCCUUAUCGAGAUAUAGCCAUGAGAGGCUAAUUAUUUGUGUAUGUGGUAUUUUGGGGAACUCACUAAGCUUCGUGUUUACAAUGUUGAUUUAAAUGUGUUUCAGAUACUUUUGUAGAUUCCGAAAAGGUGAAGACAUGAUUGUACACAUUCGUCGGCUUAUAAUGUCUUGUGGAUUUUGGGAUACUCUAUCACUCUGAUAUGUUUUGAUAAUUAUUAAAAUUCUGUGAUGACUUGGUUUUAUGAAUAAUGUUUGGUGAAUUCAAAAUGAAAAAAAAUUUGUUUGAAAUUUAAGGUGUUACAAACAAAAUGAUGUAUAUGAAUUGAUAGUAAAACCCUAAGCCUAUAUAAAGAGAAAAUCAAUCUUUAAAUUCUUGGCCGAAAUACGAACCAUAAUGAAAGAUAUAUCCGCGUGUACGCAAUGUCGGUCCGAAAUGUACAUUUUACUCCUACAUAUCAUAUUUUGAAUGACUUUGUCAUAUCCGAACAGUUUUCUAACAACAAUGUUUCAGACUUCGUAAUCAUUUUUUAUGAAUUAAAAAGUAGGUCAUUUCGUGUGAUUACUUCAUUCCUAAUGAUUGUAAAUAUCCCUUUGUAUUUUGUUUAUUAGGUAAUAUGUAAUAAUAAUAUCUUAUUAUUUUAUUUAUUCAGGAAGGUAAUUAAAAGAGCAACUAUAUUUUAAAACCUAGAUUCCUAACGAACUGCCCAAAAGAAGUGCAUGAAUGCAUGGUUAAGCAAAACUCCUUACUCCUUAGAUGCCAACCGAUGUGAACCCACUCAAAUAUGCUUUUAUUUUCAUUUACGUUAUGUAGUUCAUAUAUAAUACUAUCAACAUAUUUUUUUGGGUUGUUUGCGGAGAAUCAUAGUCAAUAAACUACCUUUUUAAAAACCACUUAGAUUAGUUUUUCAAAAUCUUUUUAAUUUUUUUUUCAAAAUUAACACUUACGUAAUUUUAGAAAAAUAUAUUCUUCUAAAUAUGUUUUUAUGUUAUUUUAUAUCUUCAACUAAAACGUCAUUUUGCUUUUCAAUAUUCAACAAGUUUUUCAUAUAACAUCAAUUUCAGCUAGCAAAGUACAAACAAACAUAGACUUUAUCAAUUUAUGCAACAAUUUUGUAAUCACAUAAUGAAUUGAUGAAGAAAAAUGGAAGUAUCUAGUAUUUAUUUAAUUAACCCUAAAUUAAGAAACUUGGAUUUUUUUAUCCGAAAUAAAAAUAAAAAUGAUUCCUUUGUGUAUAUAUCAAAAAGUCAUUCGAGAUAUGAAUAGAAAGUAACCAAAAAGUCAAAAGGUUUCUUCGACAAUGAAAGCAUCUCGUCGUCCUCAUGGCUGUAAGUUUCUUUUCGGAGCGAAGAAAAUCCAGUUGACAUGAAUUGGUGCGAACUCCAUGGCUAUGGCUUCACGACUGCUUUAUCUGCCUAUAAAAAUGGCUUCCCUUCCUCUUCCCCAAACCAUCUCAAUCACCAUCAUUUCAGUCUUCAAAGAAAGAUAACACCACAAAAACUAGAAAGGAAAAACAUAGAGAGGUUUGAAUAUGGGGAAGGCGCUAAUUCUGGUGGCUUUCCUACUCGUCUCCAUCGGAGCUACCACGGUUCGAGCUGAUGACUACAACAAGCCUGAAGACAAUAAGACUCCGGCACCGGUACCCGCCCCUAAAGACCAGAAACCAGCGGCAGCCCCGGUCCCUACGGAGGAGAAAUCAAAGCCAGAACCGCCGAAGGAGGACGAGAAACCAAAACCAGCACCGGCUCCGAAGGAGGAGAAACCAAAGCCUUCUCCUGUCGACGACGAUACCACGAACUACGACGACGAGACACCAGACCCAAAAACAGGAUGCGAACGGGCUAAGUGUAAAUCGAAAGGAGCUUGUAAUAAGAAGACACUAACCUGUCCGGCCGAGUGCCCGGAGAGGAAGCCCAAGAAGAACAAGAAGAACAAAGGUUGCUUCAUCCAUUGUGGUAGCAAGUGUGAAGCUACUUGCAAAUGUAUGUACUCCACCUGUUCGAUAAAAUGUUUCUUUGAAUUCCUAAUCAUCUACACUCUUCUUCCUAACUAAUUUGCAAUUGAAUGACAGGGAGGAGGCCACAAUGUAACGGAUAUGGCUCUCUAUGCUACGAUCCAAGGUUCGUCGGAGGUGACGGAGUGAUGUUCUACUUCCAUGGCGGAAAAGGACGUGAUUUCGCUCUUGUCUCCGACACCAACCUCCAAAUCAACGCCCACUUCAUCGGAAACCGCCCAAAUGGCCGGAAACGUGACUACACAUGGGUCCAGUCCAUCUCCAUCAUGUUCGACACCGACACCCUCGUCCUCUCAGCUAAGAAAGUACAACAAUGGGACGACUCCGUCGACGUACUUCUCGUAAAAUUCAACGGUCAACAAGUCAACAUCCCCUUCACCGGAGACGCAGAAUGGAAAACCAACACCGGAGUAAGAGGAGUGGCGGUGGAAAGAACCGACGACACCAACACUGUUAGAGUUACAGUCGGCGGGCUGGUUGAAAUCGACAUGAAAGCUGUUCCGGUGACCAAAGAAGACGAAAAAGCUCACAACUACCAGUUACCAUCAAAUGACACUUUUGCCCAUUUCGAGACACAGUUCCGAUUCUCAAAUCUCUCAGACAACGUCGAGGGCAUUUUGGGAAAAACCUACAGACCAGGGUAUGUUAGCCCAGUGAAGAGAGGGAUCGCGAUGCCAUUAAUGGGUGGAGAAGACAAAUACGAAACUCCGUCUUUAACUUCACCUCGUUGCAAACUCUGCAUGUUUCAGUCAAAUUACGAAUCUGCCCCUCCCGCAACCGGAAUAUCUCAAUACUAAUCAAUUAUCGUAAUUCCUUGUAAUAUAUCAAUAAUGGUCAUAAAUUAAGGCUCUCGACUCCUUGAAUUUUAUUAUAAUACAAAAUAAAAACGGUUUUAUUCUAUGAUUUAUAAUUUUAUAAUUAUAAUUAUAUUCGUGUUUUUCAUUCACACGAUGCUUCUACAGCUAAACUUUUAACUACAUUUACACAAGGAUCACCAAAAGUAACAGUCGAAACUCCAACACUACAAGUCUUGAACCCAAGGCAAGCAUUUUGUAGGAUCGAAAGUGCAUUAUCACUCUUGCAUUCGCCAUGUCUAAAAUUACCACAUUGCCC